rnacentral:rRNA from 1 species
UAGCAUAAUAGUUAGUUUUUUAAUUGGAAUCUUGUAUGAAUGGUUGGACAAAAGAAAUUCUGUCUCUAUAAUUUUUAUUGAAUUUAACUUUUAAGUGAAAAGGCUUAAAUAUUUUAAAAAGACGAUAAGACCCUAUAAAGCUUUAUAGUUAAAUUUAUUUGAUUAAAUUAAUAAAUAAAAUUUUAAUGAAUUAAACUAUUUUGUUGGGGAGACAAAAUUAUAAUUUUAAAUAACUGUUAAUAAGUAAAACAAUUUAUAGAUGAGUAAUAAUGUAAUAGAUCCUUUUAUAAAGAUUAAAAGUUUAAGUUACUUUAGGGAUAACAGCGUUAUUUUUUUUGAGAGUUCAUAUCGAAAAAAAAGAUUGCGACCUC